AGCCUGCCGGCGGCGGCAGCUCCUGCCCAGCGAGCAGAGCCGGCACCGGCAGCAGCCGGGAAGACGCGAGGAGCCGGGGCAGAAGCUUCCCUGCCGCCCCUGCCGCUCCGUGCCCGGGGCUGGGGGCCGCGGGGGCCGCUGCUCGGCCGAGGGCAGCCCUGUGCCCUCCCGCACGGGUGUGGGGGAGCAGCCCCCGCCACCCGCUUCGCCCCGGGACCGCCGUCCUGCGCUCGGCACGGCUGCAAGACUCCCCGCCGCCCUGCCCCGGCCGUGCCCGUACGCUGGAGCGGACAGAUGGACGGACGGACGGACGGACGGAUGGCCGGCAUCCCCGACGGAGGGAUGUUUCUGUCUUUGGUUAUCUAGCUGUAUGAGUGUUGUGGAGCCAUCAUAAAGCUAGAUAACCGAAAGUAGAAAUGACUUCCAGACCUGCUCGCCCGGGGGAAGCGGCCGCAGUAGGAUCCGACUCGCCGCCCUCGGGGCUGCAGACAUGACUGCGAGUUCACAGAGUGGGAUGCCUUGGGAAGGGCUGGGACGUCUCCACCUGAGCAAGGAGAGAUCCUAGAGUGUGGAGAAGAGACUUUUGAAGCUUAUGAGCUCCUUCUUGCAGUUGGCUACUGCUUGCCUGGACUUGCCGUCUGACAUCACCAGGUUUCUCCAGAAGGAUCCUGAUCUGCUUCUCCGAUUGCCCCAGAGAGGAGGCAGCUUCGGCUCAUGAACACAGAGGGUUUCUCCAUUGCUUCAAAUCACACUGAUCCAGCCAUGGGGAGGGAGCCAGGGCAACACAGGGAGCCAGGGGAUCAUCCCACAUCACUCCUGUACGUUGUCUUUGGUGCCCUAAAUACCCCAGAGCAGGACCACGGUACUUAGGCAGAGAGAUUUGAGCAAGCCACCAUCUCACUUGACAAAAUACCGUGUGUGUGGUGGUUGAAGGGAGCUUUUAGCACUGGGCUUUGCUCACGGAGCAGAGCUCACCCCUUGCUACUCUUCACCCCUGGGUGCAUGGAGCUGCAAGAGCGCAGCCGUCCCGACAGUGCUGUGCUGGGGGCCCAGGGACUGCGAGUCUGUCCAGGCCAGGCAGCCCUGCCGCUGUUUUAUUGCACCCUCUCUGUUCCUGUAAGAGAAACGUACUGGCUGUAAUUCUCUCCCAUUAAAAUCCCCCCCCCCCCGACCCCAUGCACUGUUGAA